CCUACGGGGUGCAGCAGUGGGGAAUAUUGGACAAUGGGCGAAAGCCUGAUCCAGCCAUGCCGCGUGUGUGAAGAAGGCCUUCGGGUUGUAAAGCACUUUCAGUGGGGAAGAAAGCCUUGGGGCUAAUACCCUCGAGGAAGGACAUCACCCACAGAAGAAGCACCGGCUAACUCCGUGCCAGCAGCCGCGGUAAUACGGAGGGUGCGAGCGUUAAUCGGAAUUACUGGGCGUAAAGCGCGCGUAGGCGGUCUGAUAAGCCGGUUGUGAAAGCCCCGGGCUCAACCUGGGAACGGCAUCCGGAACUGUCAGGCUAGAGUGCAGGAGAGGAAGGUAGAAUUCCCGGUGUAGCGGUGAAAUGCGUAGAGAUCGGGAGGAAUACCAGUGGCGAAGGCGGCCUUCUGGACUGACACUGACGCUGAGGUGCGAAAGCGUGGGUAGCAAACAGGAUUAGAUACCCGUGUAUC
rnacentral:rRNA from 1 species